rnacentral:rRNA from 1 species
UCUAACAUUGCGCCCUAAUCGGGCGUGUGGACAGUGUCUGGUGGGUAGUUUGACUGGGGCGGUCUCCUCCCAAAGCGUAACGGAGGAGCACGAAGGUUGGCUAAUCCUGGUCGGACAUCAGGAGGUUAGUGCAAUGGCAUAAGCCAGCUUAACUGCGAGACAGACACGUCGAGCAGGUACGAAAGUAGGUCAUAGUGAUCCGG